rnacentral:rRNA from 1 species
GUAGGUGGCAAGCGUUGUCCGGAAUUAUUGGGCGUAAAGCGCGCGCAGGCGGUUCUUUAAGUCUGAUGUGAAAGCCCACGGCUCAACCGUGGAGGGUCAUUGGAAACUGGAGGACUUGAGUACAGAAGAGGAAAGCGGAAUUCCACGUGUAGCGGUGAAAUGCGUAGAGAUGUGGAGGAACACCAGUGGCGAAGGCGGCUUUCUGGUCUGUAACUGACGCUGAGGCGCGAAAGCGUGGGGAGCAAACAGGGAUUAGAUACCCUGGUAGUCCACGCCGUAAACGAUGAGUGCUAAGUGUUAGGGGGUUUCCGCCCCCUUAGUGCUGCAGCUAACGCAUUAAGCACUCCGCCUGGGGAUACGGCCGCAAGGCUG